UAUAUGCUGAUGCCUUUGGGCACAAGAGGUUAGUGUGCUUACCCAAAAGACAACACUGAGAAGGAUACAACAUUGCAUCAAAAACCUUACGGAGGAGGGAAUAAAGUGCUGAGAUAAAUUGUGUUGGGACUACAGAAAAAAGAGAAACUGAUGUCUGGAACCUCAGAGUUAAACAGGGUACCGCUGGAACCAAAGCGGCUCUGACUGCCAAGGAUGUCAUCUGCCCAGUAAUGAAUGGGAACGGUCAGUUUGAAAUGACAUGAAGCACAGACCAGGAGCUGAAAAUGUCACAACUGACAGCUCCUGCUUGGUGCUUUUUCCACUGGGCACACCAGAAGGAGUCCUGACUCGUGCAUACAACUUGUAGCAACAGACUGUCUCUACAGAACUGAUGGUUUGAGCUGCUGCUAUACACAGCUCAGGGCAAAAUCCAGAGCAGCAUCUUUGCUAGCCUUCUGCUGCCUGUUUGAGCUGACAAGGAACUGUUUAUGAGUGGUGCCUCUGCAUCAGGUACUUGCAUGACUCCCACCGCCCAUGAGAGACAGAUGACAUUUGUUCUUAUGAUAAGUGGGAAGACAGAAAUCCAGGCUCCCAUUCAUCAGGUAUCAAUCACUAUGUAUUUUUUUUUUUUUAAUUGAAAGCUUUGUUUAAAAAA